rnacentral:rRNA from 1 species
AGGACGAACGCUGGCGGCACGCCUAACACAUGCAAGUCGAACGGAGAUUGAGAGCUUGCUCUAAAUCUUAGUGGCGGACGGGUGAGUAACACGUGAGCAACCUGCCUCUGAGAGAGGGAUAGCUUCUGGAAACGGAUGGUAAUACCUCAUAACAUUACAUGACCGCAUGAUCGUGUAAUCAAAGAUUUAUCACUCAGAGAUGGGCUCGCGUCUGAUUAGCUAGUUGGUGAGGUAACGGCCCACCAAGGCGACGAUCAGUAGCCGGACUGAGAGGUUGAACGGCCACAUUGGGACUGAGACACGGCCCAGACUCCUACGGGAGGCAGCAGUGAGGGAUAUUGCACAAUGGAGGAAACUCUGAUGCAGCGAUGCCGCGUGGAGGAAGAAGGUUUUCGGAUUGUAAACUCCUGUUUCGAGGGACGAUAAUGACGGUACCUCGGGAGGAAGCUCCGGCUAACUACGUGCCAGCCGCCGC